rnacentral:rRNA from 1 species
GACGAACCGUGCAAACGUUAUUCGGAAUCACUGGGCAUAAAGGGCGCGUAGGCGGCUUCAUAAGUCAGGGGUGAAAUCCGGCAGCUUAACUGUCGCAGUGCCUUUGAUACUGUGGAGCUCGAGGGAGGUAGGGGUCUGUGGAACUUCCGGUGGAGCGGUGAAAUGCGUUGAUAUCGGGAAGAACACCCGUGGCGAAGGCGGUUCUCUGGGACGGUACUGACGCUGAGACGCGAAAGCGUGGGGAGCGAACAGG